rnacentral:snRNA from 1 species
AUACUUACCUGGCAGGGGAGAUACCAUGAUCACGAAGGUGGUUUUCCCAGGGUGAGGCUCCUCCAUUGCACUCUGGAUGUACUGACCCCUGCGAUUUCCCCAAAUGUGUGGGGGGGGAAGCAAUCUCUGCACUCUC